rnacentral:rRNA from 1 species
GAUGAACGCUGGCGGCGUGCCUAAUACAUGCAAGUCGAGCGAACAGACGAGGAACUUGCUCCACUGACGUUAGCGGCGGACGGGUGAGUAACACGUGGAUAACCUACCUAUAAGACUGGGAUAACUUCGGGAAACCGGAGCUAAUACCGGAUAAUAUAUUGAACCACAUGGUUCAAUAGUGAAAGAUGGUAUUGCUGUCACUAAUAGAUGGCUCGGCGCCUCUUUAGCUAGUUGGUAGGGUAAGGGCCUACCAAGCGGAGAUACAGAAGCCGACCUGGGAGGGGGAUCGGCCACAUUGGAACUGGGACACGGUCCAGACUCCUACGGGAGGCACCGGUAGGGAAUCUUCGGCAAGGGGCGAAGUCCUGACGGACCAACGCCGCGUGGGGGAUGAAGGUCUUCGGAUCUUAAAACUCUGUUAUUAGGGAAGACCAAAUGUGUAAUGAACUACGCACGUCUUGACGGUACCUAAUCAGAAAGCGACGGCUAACUACGUG